UACGUAGGGUGCGAGCGUUGUCCGGAAUUACUGGGCGUAAAGAGCUCGUAGGUGGUUUGUCGCGUUGUUCGUGAAAACUCACAGCUUAACUGUGGGCGUGCGGGCGAUACGGGCAGACUGGAGUACUGCAGGGGAGACUGGAAUUCCUGGUGUAGCGGUGGAAUGCGCAGAUAUCAGGAGGAACACCGGUGGCGAAGGCGGGCUCUGGGCAGUAACUGACGCUGAGGCGCGAAAGCGUGGGGAGCAAACAGG
rnacentral:rRNA from 1 species